CUUCUCUUCCCUUGCCUUUCCUUUUCCUUCCCCCUUCCCCUUCCCUUCUUUUUUUACUGCUGCAUGUUUGCAGAGCUAAAUCUUCUAUAGUUAGACUUACCAAAGGAUAAAGUACAAUUGCCCUGUAGAGGUGGUCUGCUUAAUAUCACAGUCCUCAUUUGUUUGUUUCUAUACUUGCUUUGUACACCGUCUUCCUACAAAGAUUGUGAGGAAGGAUGCCAAGAGGGUUGUGGUAGCAAAGGGAGCUCAUGUGUUUGCAAUCAGGGAAGCAGACAGUUUUCUUUCUUGGGUGGAUGGGUAACAGAAGGUAGACAUAGCAUUAGAAAAACAGUACUGCACUACCCAGAAGCUACUGAGCUUAACUUUGAAGGCUCAUGUACUUAUUUCUGUGGUAUUCAUUUCUCUGUCUGUCGUUGUCUUGUUUUCUUUUCAGUCCUGCUCUAAGUGAAUGAGAAGAAGCAAGCAUCAAGUGAAAACUAGCAACCUUGUUUUAGAGGUGUUAGUUCUUACCAAAAGACAGUUUUCUGAGUUUUCAAACAAGAUUUGCCAAUUUAGAUAUUCAAGUAGCUGUAUCUGGGCACAUAGCAUACAUAUGACUUGUAACUCUUAAAGUAAUCACUCCAGGGACUAUUGUGUCUUGUGAGUGGGCAGAAUUAUUUUGGAACCAUUGCCCAAAGAAAAGCAAGGGAACUAAUGUGUUCAGUAGCAAGUACCUUGGGUGGUAUGGAGAGCUGGUGGCUCUUGCAAGUUUUUGCUUUUACUGUGGCAGUGGUAUCAUGCUUGCUUCAGUAACUGGGGCUACUUAGCUAGUAGUUAGAAGAUAGCUGUUGUUUAUCACUGCUAACUGAGUCUGAAACCUAUGUGAUGAAAACAUAUAGGUAUGUGCGCUGUAAAGCUUUAGACUGGCUGGCUUGAAUGAGAAUAUCUAGGAAGCAAGAGUUUUGGAGGAGCUGUUGUUCAGUGUUAGCAGUUGUCUCUUCAUGUCGCUCACCAGUUAGACUAGAAGAAGGGACAGAGAAAUGACUAGGGAGAGAUGGAGAAUUGUAUGUGUUUAUUACAGUGUCCAUUAUGUUCACUUUUACUUUGGCGUAGUCUGCCAUUUUCAUCUUGCCAUCACUCGUUUUUUGUUUUUUGUUCUUUCUUUUGUUUGUUUGUGCCUCUUGAACAUUGUCGUGCAAACUCUGCUCUGCCACCUCGUCAGCUGCGGUACAUCUGAGAGCUUGAUGUCACCAGUUAAGCAGGCUCCGCAGAAGUCGCCCUCCGACACAGAGGGUCUGGUAAACAGCGUACCCGCCAGAUCACACCAGGGCCCAGUCAUUUACGCGCAGCUAGAUCACUCCGGAGGACAGCACAGCAACAAGAUUAACAAGUCAGAGUCUGUGGUCUAUGCUGAUAUUCGGAAGAACUGAGAUGUGAUCCUAAUCUGUCUAUAGCAAAACACUCAUUCAGACUGGAAUUGCUUAAACAAAAUUUGACCCAGAGAACUCACAUGUGGCCUUUGAUGCCUAGGCUAGGACCAAUGCAUGUGCAUACAGAGGGAAAGAUAUAUAUGUAUUGUGUGUAAAUAGUCUAUUUAAUCGUAGAGAAGUGAGACCAAUGUUGCAUGUUGAAAUGCGCUAAGAAUUCUGCUUAUAAAUUGCCAAUAUUCUUUUUGUAUCUUGUAUGAUGAGAGAGAAAGUGCAAACUCACAUCACAAUUUAAGAAUAUUUUUAUUGUAUCAAUGGAGAAACUGGAAGAUGCCUGAGGAUUCUAGAUUGACCUAGAGACUUUUUUUUUGUUUAUAGGCCUUAAUUUCUUUCGUUGUUGUUGAGGUGAAUACAAAAAAGGUAACUUUCA